GUAGGUGGCAAGCGUUGUCCGGAAUUAUUGGGCGUAAAGCGCGCGCAGGGCGGUCCUUUAAGUCUGAUGUGGGAAGCCCACGGCUCAACCGUGGAGGGUCAUUGGAAACUGGGGGACUUGAGUACAGAAGAGGAAAGCGGAAUUCCAAGUGUAGCGGUGAAAUGCGUAGAGAUUUGGAGGAACACCAGUGGCGAAGGCGGCUUUCUGGUCUGUAACUGACGCUGAGGCGCGAAAGCGUGGGGAGCAAACAGGAUUAGAUACCCUGGUAGUCCACGCCGUAAACGAUGAGUGCUAAGUGUAGGGGGUUUCCGCCCCUUAGUGCUGCAGCUAACGCAUUAAGCACUCCGCCUGGGGAGUACGGCCGCAAGGCUG
rnacentral:rRNA from 1 species